UACAGAGGUCUCAAGCGUUGUUCGGAUUCAUUGGGCGUAAAGGGUGCGUAGGCGGCGCGGUAAGUCGGGUGUGAAAUCUCGGAGCUUAACUCCGAAACUGCAUUCGAUACUGCCGUGCUUGAGGACUGGAGAGGAGACUGGAAUUUACGGUGUAGCGGUGAAAUGCGUAGAUAUCGAUAAGGAAGACCAGUGGCGAAGGCGGGUCUCCUGGACAGUUCCUGACGCUGAGGCACGAAGGCCAGGGGAGCAAACGGG
rnacentral:rRNA from 1 species